CAUCGCCUCUUGCUCCAAAAAUAUAAGAGGUCCCGCCUGCCCUGUGACUAUAAGUUUAACGGCCGCGGUAUUUUAACCGUGCGAAGGUAGCGUAAUCACUUGUCUUUUAAAUGAAGACCUGUAUGAAUGGCAUCACGAGGGCUUAGCUGUCUCCCAUCUCCAGUCAAUGAAAUUGACCUCCCCGUGCAGAGGCGGGGAUAAUUACAUAAGACGAGAAGACCCUAUGGAGCUUUAGACCUAAAGUAAGUCACGUUUAACAUGCUAAAAUAACAGAAAAAACUUAGUGAUAUUUACUGAAGUGUCUUUGGUUGGGGCGACCGCGGGGUAAAACACAACCCCCAUGUGGACCGGGGAUAUUAUCCCUAAUACUCAGAGCCUCUACUCCAAGUAACAGAAAUUCUGACUUUUCUGAUCCGGUAUAACCGAUCAACGAACCGAGUUACCCUAGGGAUAACAGCGCAAUCCCCUCUCAGAGCCCAUAUCGACGAGGGGGUUUACGACCUCGAUGUUGGAUCAGGACAUCCUAAUGGUGCAGCCGCUAUUAAGGGUUCGUUUGUUCAACGAUUAAAGUCCUACG
rnacentral:rRNA from 1 species